rnacentral:rRNA from 1 species
UACGAAGGGGGCGAGCGUUGUUCGGAAUUACUGGGCGUAAAGGGCGCGCAGGCGGCUCUGAAAGUCAGAUGUGAAAGCCCCGGGGCUUAACCUGGGAAUUGCAUUUGAUACUCUGGAGCUUGAGUACGGGAGAGGAGAGUGGAAUUCCCAGUGUAGAGGUGAAAUUCGUAGAUAUUGGGAAGAACACCGGUGGCGAAGGCGGCUCUCUGGACCGUAACUGACGCUGAGGCGCGAAAGCGUGGGGAGCAAACAGG